rnacentral:sRNA from 1 species
AUGUACCACGCGGACAUUGCGGUCCCGGCGCGCCGUCCACAUCCGUCCGCAUUCGCCCGACGACUGCUCGCAACGUUUUAGGGACC